rnacentral:rRNA from 1 species
AUUGAACGCUGGCGGCAGGCCUAACACAUGCAAGUCGAACGAGUGGCGGACGGGUGAGUAAUGUCUGGGAAACUGCCUGAUGGAGGGGGAUAACUACUGGAAACGGUAGCUAAUACCGCAUACCAUCGGAUGUGCCCAGAUGGGAUUAGCUAGUAGGUGGGGUAAAGGCUCACCAAGGCGACGAUCCCUAGCUGGUCUGAGAGGAUGACCGGAAACACUGGAACUGAGACACGGUCCAGACUACUACGGUAGGCAUCAGUGGGGAAUUUUGGACAAUGGGCGCAAGCUUGAUGCAGCCAUGCCGCGUGUAUGAAGAAGGCCUACGGGUUGUAAAGUACUUUCAGCGGGGAGGCGUGACCCGCAGAAGAAGCACCGGCUAACUACGUGCCAGCAGCCGCAGUAAUUC